rnacentral:rRNA from 1 species
UACGGAGGAUGCGAGCGUUAUCCGGAUUUAUUGGGUUUAAAGGGUGCGUAGGCGGGCAUUUAAGCCGGCGGUCAAAUGUCGGGGCUCAACGCCGUCGAGCCGUUGAAACUGGCGUUCUUGAGUGGGCGAGAAGUAUGCGGAAUGCGUGGUGUAGCGGUGAAAUGCAUAGAUAUCACGCAGAACUCCGAUUGCGAAGGCAGCAUACCGGCGCCCUACUGACGCUGAGGCACGAAAGCGUGGGUAUCGAACAGG